GGGCGCUUAGCUCAGUUGGUUCAGAGCAUUUGGUUUACACCCAAAGGGUCGGGGGUUCGAAUCCCUCAGCGCCCA
rfam:Flavobacteriaceae bacterium TMED116 MHASMcontig_289033, whole genome shotgun sequence.